rnacentral:SRP_RNA from 1 species
GCUGGGCGUGGUGGCUCACGCCUGUAAUCCCAGCACUUUGGGAGGCUGAGACAGGUGGAUUACCUGAGGUCAGGAGUUCGAGACCAGCCUGGCCAAUAUGGUGAAACCCUGUCUCUA